rnacentral:rRNA from 1 species
CAGCUUGCUGGGGGAUUAGUGGCGAACGGGUGAGUAACACGUGAGUAACCUGCCCUUGACUCUGGGAUAAGCCUGGGAAACUGGGUCUAAUACCGGAUACGACCAUCUGGCGCAUGUCAUGGUGGUGGAAAGCUUUUGUGGUUUUGGAUGGACUCGCGGCCUAUCAGCUUGUUGGUGGGGUAAUGGCCUACCAAGGCGACGACGGGUAGCCGGCCUGAGAGGGUGACCGGCCACACUGGGACUGAGACACGGCCCAGACUCCUACGGGAGGCAGCAGUGGGGAAUAUUGCACAAUGGGCGCAAGCCUGAUGCAGCGACGCCGCGUGAGGGAUGACGGCCUUCGGGUUGUAAACCUCUUUCAGUAGGGAAGAAGCCGCAAGGUGACGGUACCUGCAGAAGAAGCGCCGGCUAACUACGUGCCAGCAGCCGCGGUAAUACGUAGGGCGCAAGCGUUAUCCGGAAUUAUUGGGCGUAAAGAGCUCGUAGGCGGUUUGUCGCGUCUGCUGUGAAAGACCGGGGCUCAACUCCGGUUCUGCAGUGGGUACGGGCAGACUAGAGUGCAGUAGGGGAGACUGGAAUUCCUGGUGUAGCGGUGAAAUGCGCAGAUAUCAGGAGGAACACCGAUGGCGAAGGCAGGUCUCUGGGCUGUAACUGACGCUGAGGAGCGAAAGCAUGGGGAGCGAACAGGAUUAGAUACCCUGGUAGUCCAUGCCGUAAACGUUGGGCACUANGUGUGGGGGGACAUUCCACGUUUCUCCGCGCCGUAGCUAACGCAUUAAUGUGCCCCGUCCUGGGGGAGUACGGCCGCA